rnacentral:lncRNA from 1 species
CUGAAAUACAUAAUAAUGAAUGCUAUAAUCCUGAAUGUUACAAUCUCAAAAUAUCAAAACCUUUAGAGUCUAAAAUUCCAAAAGAAGAAAAGCUGAAAUCCUGGAAAUAACAAUGGAAGAGGCUAUAUGAGGGUGUAGAAGGGAUUAAUGGGUAAGGAUUAGUGCAUUUUCAGUUAUACACAAGACAGUUACAUCAUGUUAUGCAGAACAAAUAUCCAAAAGCCCAGUAACACAUUAUUUUGGGUGGGUGGAUGUGUGUCAAGUCCAUUUGUGAAAAUGGAUUUCAGUUGAAUCCCUAAACCAUAAUCACAGACUUGAAAUUAGGUGUGUGGUCAAGGCUUCUAAAAGUGAAUUUCAAGAUAGUUACCAAUAAAGUUUGUUUUUUCCCCUCAGCCCAAAGCAUUUGGUGGAAAAUUCAGAUGAGUGGAUUGGUCAUGCAAUAUGGUAGUGAUGAGAACUUCAAUUUAAAAAUGCAUCAUUCGUCUGCAUUGACAUUCCUUUCAGCUGAUGAAAUUCCAGGAGUUUUAAUGAAUUAAAGUUGCAUUUGCCUGAGAAAGCAAGCAGUUACUGACUGGUUUGGAAAUAAUUACAUGCACAGUAGGAUAAGAAGACACUUACACUAAGAGCAGAAGCUUACUGCUUGGAGCCCCCAAUGAAAAAAAGAAAGCUGUGAUUGGAUGUCAUUACUGCCAAUCAACUGGAGGAUAACAUAGGCUGUGACUUUUCAAGGGAGAGAUAAAAGGACCAGGUCACGACUUAGGUUGAAGAUGGCCUCCUUCUAAAGUGAACUCAGUUCCUAGGUUCAAAAGAAGAGGCUCAAUCUACCCAGAAUCCCUGAACCUCAAGUCCAGAUGCUUGGGAGAAAGAACAGAUUACCUGGGGCUGUGGGAGUCCAAAGUGAACACGGGGCUGCUUAGAG